rnacentral:rRNA from 1 species
CCCAGACUCCUACGGGAGGCAGCAGUGGGGAAUAUUGCACAAUGGGGGGAACCCUGAUGCAGCGACGCCGCGUGGGUGAAGGAGUACUUCGGUACGUAAAGCCCUAUCAGCAGGAAAGAAAAUGACGGUACCUGACUAAGAAGCCCCGGCUAACUACGUGCCAGCAGCCGCGGUAAUACGUAGGGGGCAAGCGUUAUCCGGAUUUACUGGGUGUAAAGGGAGCGUAGACGGCAGUGCAAGUCCGGAGUGAAAGCCCGGGGCUCAACCCUGGGACUGCUCUGGAAACUGUAAAGCUGGAGUGCGGGAGGGGCAGGCGGAAUUCCUGGUGUAGCGGUGAAAUGCGUAGAUAUCAGGAGGAACACCGGCGGCGAAGGCGGCCUGCUGGACCGUAACUGACGUUGAGGCUCGAAAGCGUGGGGAGCAAACAGGAUUAGAUACCCUCGUAU